CUGGAGUGGAGGUCACGUGCUUCCUGUCAUCAGUGGAGCUCCACUCUGCAGCCACCCCUCUCGAAGAAAAACAGGAAGUAUGGGCGGGGGAUGGGCUAGAUAUAGGAUACAUUCACUGCGUACCCUGAGAAGCCUCACAUGAUGCAGUUCUAACAACAUCUCAUAUUGUGUGCGGAUCACUCUCAUGGGAACUGAUGAAAGAUAAGCACAGAACGUUGUAUAACAUACAAUAUCCAAGGUGAAAGGAGGAGCAAAAUGAGAGCACACAUCACUGGAACACACAAAGAGGGAUUAUAGAGCAGUAACUAUCUGGAUAUCCAUCAACAACCAUCAGCCCUCUUCACAGGACAUCACCCAUCACAGUGCCUCCACCUCACUGUCUGACAACAGAGGUAUUUAGAAGCACACAAGGAUCUCUUCAAGGACGUCGAGAUGGAUAAUCAGCCGCCCCUCACAUCACCGGAUGGAUCCAGUAAUGGGAACCCACCAGAGAGAUGUCCCCG